UUUCCGUAGGUGAACCUGGGGAAGGAUCAUUGUCGA
rnacentral:rRNA from 1 species